rnacentral:lncRNA from 1 species
CUAGGACGGACGGAGGGACGGACGGACGGAGGGACGGACACCGGCGCGCGGACGGUGCACGGGGAGAGCAUCGGCGUCCCCCGUCGUCACUGCGGGUGCUGGGGCCUCCCGGGCGGGCGAGCGUGGACGGGGCACAGACACGUUGUCGGCGGGUGCUGCGGUGCGGCUCAAUGCUGCAACGCGCUGCGGCACGCUGCAAUGCACCGCGGCACGGCUCGGCACAGUGCAAUGCACCACGGCACAGCUUGGCACAGUGCAACACRCCRCGGCACGCUGCAACGCGCUCCRGCACACUCCAAUGCACUGCGGCACGGCUCAGCACGGUGCAACGCGCUGCGGCACAGUGCAACACGCUGCGGCACGGCUCAGCACACUGCAAUGCUCCGUGGCACAGUGCAACACGCUGCGGCACAGCUCGGCACAGUGCAACACGCCGCGGCACGCUGCAACGCACUGCAGCACACUGCAACGCGCUCCGGCACGCUCCAAUGCACUGCGGCACAGCUCAGCACGGUGCAAUGCACCACGGCACGCUGCAACACACUGCAGCACGGUGCAGCACACCGCGGCACAGCUCAGCACGGUGCAGGAGCGCUCGGCACGGCUCGGCACAGCUCGGCACGGCUCGGCACGGUGCAAAACACCUCGGCACAGCUCAACAAGGGGCGGCGCGGCGCGGCGCGGUCUGGUGCCAUGCAGCUCUGCGCAGUGCAGGACGACACGGCGCAGCUCAGUGCCACUCGGCACGUUGCAACGCGGCUCGGCACAGCUUGGCACAGCUCGGCACUGCUCGGCAUGGUGCGACGCGGCUCGGCACAGCUCGGCACAGCUCGGCACUGCUCGGCAUGGUGCGACGCAGCUCGGCACGGUGCAACGUGUCUUGGCACAGCUCGGCACGGUGCAGCAGCUCUCGGCGCGGCUCGGCGCGCUGCAGAAGGACGCAGAGCGGCUCGGCACGGCGCGGCACAGCUCCAUGCAGCGCACCGCGGCUCGGCGUGGUGCAGCCCGGCGCGGGACGGCCCAGCGCGGUGCRAAAGGACUCGGCACGGCUCGGCGCCUGGCACCGCGGGAAACGCCUCCCCGGGACGCUGGGAGCGGGCAGAGCCGGACACACGGACUCGCCGCGGGGCCCCUCCCUCUUUCCCCCCCCCGGGGCCCGGACGCCUGGGCCCCUCCUGCACCACCGGGGCGGAUGUUCGGGGCCGGGCACAGCGGAGCCCCCGGCCCGCCGGGCCCCAGAGUUAUUUUUUAACACCGCAGAUCUAUAAAUAGAGUAUAAAUAUAUAUGUAUAUAUAUAUAUAUAUAUGAGCUCUGUACAUGCAAUGUACAGUUUCGCGACCCCCCCCGCGUGGGGGGGGCGGCCGCGGGGCUGAGACCGGCCACAGCUCGCCGCAGCGAUGGCGGGGCCGCGUCCGGGGCCGUCGCGAGCCGGUGCUGUACAGACGAAGACGAUAUUAAACCGUGGAUGCGACCGCGGCCCCGUCUCCUUGCGGGUGUCGGGGGGUGGGGUGGGAG